GUGGGGAAUUUUGGACAAUGGGCGCAAGCCUGAUCCAGCAAUGCCGCGUGCAGGAAGAAGGCCUUCGGGUUGUAAACUGCUUUUGUACGGAACGAAACGGUCCGGGUUAAUACCCUGGGCUAAUGACGGUACCGUAAGAAUAAGCACCGGCUAACUACGUGCCAGCAGCCGCGGUAAUACGUAGGGUGCAAGCGUUAAUCGGAAUUACUGGGCGUAAAGCGUGCGCAGGCGGUGCUGUAAGACAGGCGUGAAAUCCCCGGGCUUAACCUGGGAAUUGCGCUUGUGACUGCAAGGCUGGAGUGCGGCAGAGGGGGAUGGAAUUCCGCGUGUAGCAGUGAAAUGCGUAGAUAUGCGGAGGAACACCGAUGGCGAAGGCAAUCCCCUGGGCCUGCACUGACGCUCAUGCACGAAAGCGUGGGGAGCAAACAGGAUUAGAAACCCGUGUAGUCC
rnacentral:rRNA from 1 species